rnacentral:rRNA from 1 species
UAAUGGUUGACCUCGGAUCAGGUAGGACUACCCGCUGAACUUAAGCAUAUCAAUAAGCGGAGGAA